AUGUUGGCCAGGCUGGUCUCGAACUCCUGACCUCAAGUGAUCCACCCACCUUGGCCUCCCAAAGUGCUGUGAUUAUAAGCAUAAGCUACCGUGCCCUGCCAAGGAUUAGGUAUUUUUUAAAAUCCAAUACAUUUUUCUUUUAAUGGAUCACUUCUCGAACAAUGCCAGCCCACACAGGUGCUGGGCUGCAUAAGUCAUUAUUAACUACAUGUCCACCCAAAAUGUCCUUCUAUUUUUGGGUCCUGCAUCACUGAUGAGUUUCGGUGACGGAGUUUAGAAUACAAAAAAACAGUUCUUCAUCUGCCCCGGGCAGUAAUUACCAUGGUGGCAUUUACUCUUGCUUCUUCCUUCAUAAUACCUCAUUUUCUCAUUCGUCUUUUUAGGAAUAAAACAGUAUCUACUGGCAACACGUACUAGUGACUACUUCCAUUCCUCUAAAUAAUAAUUUUCCCGUGCAAUUGUUUAAUCAUAUUGAUAUGGAACUCGCCUACCUUUUAGUUAGCCGGUAAUUUGUUAACAGUGUGCUCUUGCAUGACUGCAUAUUUGUUCUUAACGAUAAGCUUUAAAGUGCUUCUGGCUGCAGUGGCUCACGCCUGUAAUCCCAGCACUUUGGGAGGCCAAGGCAGGCAGAUCACCUGAGGUCGGGAGUUCGAGACCAGCCUGACCAACAUGGAGAAACCUUGUCUCUACUAAAAAUACAAAAUUAGCUGGGCGUGGUGGCGCACGCCUGUAAUCCCAGCUACUCGGGAGGCUGAGGCAGGAAAAUUGUUUGAACCCGGGAGGCAGAGUUGCAGUGAGUCAAGAUCACACCAUUGCACUCCAGCCUGGGUAACAAGAGCGAAACUCCAUCUCAAAAAAAUAAAUAAAUAAAUAAAAUAAAGUGCUUCAUGAUAAAUAAAUUUCACUUUGUUUUUUCUGUUGUUGUUUGUGUUACUAAUACUUCUUGAGGAAGUAUAUCAGAUAGCCCCAGGGUGUCAUUCUCAUCUAGUCCUUGUGUCUGUCACAGAGAAGGAAAAGAGAGAAGGCAAAAGGGAGGGCAGAUAUGUUGCUUAAAAGGUCAAGAGAAGGCUUAGCUGGGACCUAAUUGUCUGACUUAAUGUCUGCUUAAGAACGUGCUGUAUUAUGGAAAUGCCCUAACGGGACAGCUAGAUCACGAACUGGGUUUUCUGGGACCAUGAGGUUUAGAAAUAAGGAACUUCCUUUGCUGAGAAAAAGGGAUGUUAUGUAAACCCCCAAGUCCUUAAGUCAUAAUACUGAGGCUGCCCUUGAGGGCAGGGUGAUGAGACCCUGGUGCACACCCACACAGCUUUCCCCACUUCUUUGCUCAGGACUCUUCAGAGGUCCCUGCAGGGUUCCUCCACGGUUCUAGAAAGUUCCUUGGCACUAAGAACCCUCUCCAGAGAUCAAGGGGCCUCUACAACUGAUACCAUCAUUAAAUUCUCACUGUAGAUUGUGGCAGAGAACUUGCCACCAGAAGGGCUUCCCUUUAAUGACCUCCAGGAGAACUGGCUGAAGCCAAGGGCAGAAGCCCUGCCACUCUCAGACCUCUGGUGGGGGUGGGGGAAAUGGCUACACGGCCUGGGUGGGAGACAGCAUCAGCUUCCUCCCUCCCUCCAGAGCAGUCAGGCCGAGGCCAGCUGAUGGCACUUUGCUCAUUUGGGUCCAGGUUGCCAUGGAGAUCAGCGGUCUCCCUAGAUGCCUCCUGACUAUAGGAGCAACUAGCGCAUUACUGCCGAGGGAUCUACAUGAGCGCCCUAAGUCCUACUGCGGAGAGGGCCUUCCUGUGGAAGGCUCCUAAGGGUGGUCCCAUCCAUCUUCUGGCUUGAGUCAAAGACAGAGUUCCAGCAUAGUCACUGUUAUGUCCGGAGGUAAAAAUUCUUUAAACUGAAUUUCCUAGAUGAAGUAAACACUUUUUUUUUUUUUUAGUAUUACAUUUUAUUUUUACUGCUUCUUCCAGUAUUGCACAAUCCCAUAAUUAUUGCUAUUCAGCUAAAAACAUGCCUCGAGGCAUUGCAGAAGAUGAGAAUAAUAAUUUUAAAAACUGGAGUCAGCAACACGAACUCUUGAAAGCACUAGUAUAAAAGCAUUCAAGAAAUAACUUCCUCUGGCUUCCUUGGACUUGUUUAAGAGAUUACUAAUGGCAAAAUCAAGUGGAAAUUUUAAUGGAUCAGUAGGUCUUUAUGAACUAUAAGUUCCCCAGAUGAAAAUCAAAAUGCUGCUCGUGAUGUAUGCCUUAGAACAGGAUUGCUGACCUAAGGUCUGGGAACCUGCUAAGACUGUGGGCUUAUGCACUGAGUAUUUGAGAGCAUUUUUCUGAAAAGGGGAGCACAUAGCUCUCAACUACUCUCCAAGGGGGUCCCCCAAAUGUUAAAUUUAGAGUUUGCUUAGUUGACAGCAGAGUUUCCCGAUCGCGUUCCCUUUUGUUGUUCUAGUGAACAGGUAAAAACUCAGUGAAAGGCAGACUGGGAAUGUUCUCCUGCCUCCCUUUC
rnacentral:lncRNA from 1 species